rnacentral:tRNA from 1 species
AAAUAAGAAACAAUAUAUUGUAUUUAGUUUCGACCUAAAAUUUUGUUGUUAGCCCAACCUUAUUUA